UCUCGAUUGGUCUAGUGGUGAGGAUACCUGCUUGUCAUUCAAGGAACUAGAAUUCACGAUAGUGGGUCCUGGAGAACCUGAGAACAGACCGCAGGUGGCCGGGGUUCGAUUCCCCGAUCGAGAG